UAUGAUGAGGAAACGAAUUUGAUUUUUCUGACGACGGACAUGGCUGAUUUUAUGGUCCGGCCGGAGACAAUUCAGCUCACAAGUAUGUCUAGAAUAGAGCAUGAGAAGUGCUGGACCUGUUGUGUUGUAUAGUAAUUUGCGUUCGUAUAACAGGUCCAACUCCUCCUCCUAGUCUACUUUAUCCAUACUUCUGAGCUGCAUUGUCUCCGGUUGGACCAUAAAAUCACCCAUGUCUGUAGUCAGAAAAAUCAAAUUCGUUUCCUCAUCGUACCCUCG